rnacentral:rRNA from 1 species
GUGAACCUGUCGGAAGGAUCAAU